UUCGCAAUGCCCGAAAGGGUGACGAAGCGACGCCGCGUGUGGGAAGAAGGCCUUCGGGUUGUAAACCACUGUCGGGAGUUAAGAAAUGCAAGGGUGCUAAUAGUAUCCUUACUUGACUAAGGCUCCGGAGGAAGCCACGGCUAACUCUGUGCCAGCAGCCGCGGUAAUACAGAGGCGGCAAGCGUUGUUCGGAAUUAUUGGGCGUAAAGAGCACGUAGGCGGCUAUGUAAGUCGGUUGUGAAAGCCUUCCGCUCAACGGAAGAACAGCAUCCGAUACUGCAUGGCUUGAGUGCGGGAGGGGAGAGUGGAACUUCUGGUGGAGCGGUGAAAUGCGUAGAUAUCAGAAGGAACGCCGGCGGCGAAAGCGGCUCUCUGGCCCAUAACUGACGCUGAGUGUGCGAAAGCUAGGGGAGCAAACGGGAUUAGAUACCCCGGUAGUCCUAGCCGUAAACGAUGGGCACUAAGUAGAGGGGUUUU
rnacentral:rRNA from 1 species